UCGUUAUCUGUUAAUUAGGUUGUGCAUUGAGGUAAUACAGUCGAUCAAAGAACAGAUGAUGUCCAAAAGGGUAUACACCAGUCUGUAAAUUAGGUUGCACUGUGGUGUACACCUAUCCUGUCAUAUUUCGUGAUAUUAUGUGUCUUACCAUCCUCGAACUCAAGAAAUGAACCGAGGAUAUUAAAAAGCUUUAUAUUAUAACCGUAGGUUGUUUCUCUUUGUGAAUUAGAAUCCCGCAACAUCCCUGAUUGGAUCAACAGUGUUGGUACAUAUUAUCUGGCCGAUGUUCUUCAUUUCUUUUUAUUUUCUCAUCUAAUUAUUAACAUAGUGUGGAAUUUAAUAAUAUUCAGUGGGUGAAAUUUCUUAACCGUGUUUUGAGGACACACAGUCAGAUUUGUUAUCUCACGUUUUCUCUUUCCAUGCAUGUGCAAUCAGUACUAUGGAUUAGAUGAACCGAAUGCAAAGAAACAAGAUUAGAUUUUUAGGCAGCUUGGUCAAACAUGCCUGAUCUACCUUAUAGACCUAAUAUUUAUGCAUCUUCUAUUGCAGCAAUUUUUGAAGGAGAUACUGAAUGAGCUCUGUGUAUACAAUAAAAGAGGAACCAACCAAGGAACGUAUGAGCUCAAGCCAGAGUAUAAGAAAUCUGUUGAAGAUACAGGUGCUGAAUAAUGGCAGUCGUUAUCUGUUAAUUAGGUUGUGCAUUGAGGUAAUACAGUCGAUCAAAGAACAGAUGAUGUCCAAAAGGGUAUACACCAGUCUGUAAAUUAGGUUGCACUGUGGUGUACACCUAUCCUGUCAUAUUUCGUGAUAUUAUGUGUCUUACCAUCCUCGAACUCAAGAAAUGAACCGAGGAUAUUAAAAAGCUUUAUAUUAUAACCGUAGGUUGUUUCUCUUUGUGAAUUAGAAUCCCGCAACAUCCCUCAGUGGAUCAACAGUGUUGGUACAUAUUAUCUGGCCGAUGUUCUUCAUUUCUUUUUAUUUUCUCAUCUAAUUAUUAACAUAGUGUGGAAUUUAAUAAUAUUCAGUGGGUGAAAUUUCUUAACCGUGUUUUGAGGGACACACAGUCAGAUUUGUUAUCUCACGUUUUCUCUUUCCAUGCAUGUGCAAUCAG
rnacentral:lncRNA from 1 species